GUGGGGAAUUUUGGACAAUGGGGGCAACCCUGAUCCAGCAAUGCCGCGUGCAGGAAGAAGGCCUUCGGGUUGUAAACUGCUUUUGUACGGAACGAAAAGGCUCUGGUUAAUACCUGGGGCACAUGACGGUACCGUAAGAAUAAGCACCGGCUAACUACGUGCCAGCAGCCGCGGUAAUACGUAGGGUGCAAGCGUUAAUCGGAAUUACUGGGCGUAAAGCGUGCGCAGGCGGUGCUGUAAGACAGGCGUGAAAUCCCCGGGCUUAACCUGGGAAUGGAGCUUGUGACUGCAGUGCUGGAGUGUGGCAGAGGGGGAUGGAAUUCCGCGUGUAGCAGUGAAAUGCGUAGAUAUGCGGAGGAACACCGAUGGCGAAGGCAAUCCCCUGGGCCUGCACUGACGCUCAUGCACGAAAGCGUGGGGAGCAAACAGGAUUAGAAACCCGUGUAGUCC
rnacentral:rRNA from 1 species